UUGAAAAGGCCUUCUUAAAAACGUCAUUCCUAGGCCCGCGAUCUGCAUUCCGUCGAGGGAAAGACAUUCACGCCGUCGCUCUCUCUGCCCUUCGCCUUCCUCCCGGACGGAUCCCUCCACCCUCUCGUAGAUGUAGCCACAAGAACAAUCUCCACUUCUCCAAUCCUUCUGCAACUUCUCCCGCCCGGUCUCCACUUCUCCAAAGCUUCACUUAGACGAUGUCAGCCUCGUUAUUGUCCUUCUCGACGCCAAUCCUUUCUUUUGGGCCGCCGGCACCGGUUCUGAAGGUGGAAACAACCCCGCCGCCGCGCUCACCUUUGCAAAAUUUCUAAAUCAUGUCAGGUGAUUUCGUUUUUAAAUUCUCUUCUGAUUAUGAAUCAGCUGAACCAAGUGGUUCUCAACGCGACCAUCCAAACUGCAGCAUCAAUUCCCUCACUUGAGCAGCCACUGUUGCCUGCUACUGGUUUGUUUGGGAUGCAUCUUUGUUUGUUGAAUAAUUGAACAGAUUUGCUGUGGUGAUAUUUCCUUUUGUUUUUUGGUUUUAAUUUAUCAAAUGCUAAGAAUUCUAUUGGGGCUCUGUGGAGUUCUUUUUUACUGAAGUUCUUAUUCUCCUUCUAGUAUUAGCAUGAGGAUGAAAAAAAGCAAUUAAAUCAGAACUCUAUUAUGAG